rnacentral:rRNA from 1 species
AACGAACGCUGGCGGCGCGCCUAAUACAUGCAAGUCGAGCGAGAAGGUGUAGCAAUACACUUGUAAAGCGGCGAACGGGUGAGGAAUACAUGGGUAAUCUACCAUCGAGUGGGGAAUAACCAACCGAAAGGUUGGCUAAUACCGCGUACGCCUCCGGAUCUUCGGGUUCGGAGGGAAAGCUGCACUGUGAGUGUAGCGCUCUUUGAUGAGCUCAUGUCCUAUCAGCUUGUUGGUAGGGUAACGGCCUACCAAGGCUUUGACGGGUAGCUGGUCUGAGAGGACGAUCAGCCACACUGGCACUGCGACACGGGCCAGACUCCUACGGGAGGCAGCAGUAAGGAAUAUUGCGCAAUGGGCGAAAGCCUGACGCAGCGACGCCGCGUGGGGGAUGAAGGUCUUCGGAUUGUAAACCCCUUUCGGGAGGGAAGAUGGAACGAGCAAUCGUUCGGACGGUACCUCCAGAAGCAGCCACGGCCAACUUCGUGCCAGCAGCCG